rnacentral:rRNA from 1 species
CCCUUAGAUGUUCUGGGCUGCACGCGCGCUACACUGAAGCUAUCAACACGUUUUCCCUCCCUGAGGAGGGCGGGUAACCUUUUGAAUCAGCUUCGUGGUAGGGAUCGGGGCUUGCAAUUGUUCCCCGUGAACCAGGAAUUCCUAGUAGACGCGAGUCAUAAGCUCGCAUCGAUUAAGUCCCUGCCCUUUGUACACACCGUCCGUCGCUACUACCGAUUGAACGUUUUAGUGAGGCAUUUGGACCGACGCAUCUCAGUUUAACCGCUGGUUUGUGUUGGAAAGACUUCCAAACUUGAGCGUUUAGAGGAAGUAAAAGUCGUAACA